UACGUAGGGUGCAAGCGUUGUCCGGAAUUAUUGGGCGUAAAGAGCUCGUAGGCGGUCUGUCGCGUCUGGUGUGAAAAUCCAGGGCUUAACCCUGGACCUGCAUCGGGUACGGGCAGACUAGAGUGCGGUAGGGGAGAUCGGAAUUCCUGGUGUAGCGGUGAAAUGCGCAGAUAUCAGGAGGAACACCGGUGGCGAAGGCGGGUCUCUGGGCCGAUAUUGACGCUGAGGAGCGAAAGCGUGGGGAGCGAACAGG
rnacentral:rRNA from 1 species